rnacentral:rRNA from 1 species
AUUGAACGCUGGCGGCAGGCCUAACACAUGCAAGUCGAGCGGAUGAAGGGAGCUUGCUCCUGGAUUCAGCGGCGGACGGGUGAGUAAUGCCUAGGAAUCUGCCUGGUAGUGGGGGAUAACGUCCGGAAACGGGCGCUAAUACCGCAUACGUCCUGAGGGAGAAAGUGGGGGAUCUUCGGACCUCACGCUAUCAGAUGAGCCUAGGUCGGAUUAGCUAGUUGGUGGGGUAAAGGCCUACCAAGGCGACGAUCCGUAACUGGUCUGAGAGGAUGAUCAGUCAACCUGGAACCGGGAAACGGUUCAGAAUCCUUAGGGAGGGAGGAGGUGGGAAUAUUGGACAAUGGGCGAAAGUCUGAUCCAGCCAUGCCGCGUGUGUGAAGAAGGUCUUCGGAUUGUAAAGCACUUUAAGUUGGGAGGAAGGGCAGUAAGUUAAUACCUUGCUGUUUUGACGUUACCAACAGAAUAAGCACCGGCUAACUUCGUG